rnacentral:siRNA from 1 species
UUCACGACAUUAACUUUUGUUCA